rnacentral:tRNA from 1 species
GCCUGGGUGGCUCAGUGGUUGAGCAUCUGCCUUCGGCUCAGGUCAUGAUCCCAGGGUCCUGGGAUCGAGUCCCACAUCAGGCU